ensembl:lncRNA
CUGGUGGCUGGCAGCUUCUCCUUUAGCCCUGCUGAUUGGUAGGGCUGUGGAGCACGUGUGUGUGCUGGGUGUCUGCCCCCUUCCUUUCAGCUUUCCCUCCCAAAUACAGCCCCUUCUUGGCUCCAUUGUAAUGCUGUGCAGUUGUGUGUAUGUUCUCUGAGAGCAACUCCAUGCGUUCCUUCUUUUCCUCUCCCUUAUCUUGAGCUCUCAGCCUGCAUGGGCACGGGUGCAAGGUCUGUGCCAGUCCCCUCAGGCAACUAAUCUUAGUAGUGAACGUAGAUACAAACCUACAUAUGUGAUUUCAGCCUCUGCCUGGUGCUUGUGGCAAGCCUGAUGCAAUGUGUUCUCAGAAAAGUGUGAGGAGGAAGUAAUGGGCUUCCUUGCUCUUCUGCAGUAAGAAUAGCUCAUUCAUUAUUUAUCUUCACCAGAGUUUGGUUCCUGUAUAUUUGUUGAACUUUGCCUUGCUGCAGUGGCAAUCCUUUUUACUUACUGAAUCCUUGUAGCAGCUUCUUGAAGCUUAUCAAAAUGAGGGGACAUCAGGUAUUAUUUCAUAGCGUCAUAAACAUGAUUCCUAUAUGCAAAAUAGUGAUAUGGAAUGUGUUUAGAAAACUAGCCUUCAAAAGCAGAUCAAACUUACUUUUAAGUUUCAUUUACAUCACUUUAAACUCUUUAGAAACUCUGAAUAGUGUUCUUGUAAAAAUAUUUCUCUGCAAUAUCAGCACACUGAGGCCUAGUAGUGUAAAUUGAUUCUAGGAAAGCUGAAAAGAAAACCUGUGGAGAACUCCAGGUUGCCUGCAGGACUCCAAGUCAGUAAAAAUCAUAAGAUAACAUUGGUUGUUAUUCUGAGUAAGUGAAACUUAGCAUACUUCGUAAUGUAAAGGAAUUUUUUAAGGUUCACUGAAUCCAUCGUUUCCUUCAUCUGAAGUUGUACUGAAAUCAUAGAAUCAGAACAUCCUAAAGGUUGGAAGAGGUCCAUAAGGAUCAUCGAGUCCAUCUCCUGGCCCACCACAGGACCACCCAAAGACCAGACCAUAUGGCAGACAGCACUGAAAAUGACUGUCCUCAGCCAACUGCUCAGUGCAACCUCUAUGGAGGCCUUCUUUCUUGAGCAUUUUUCUUCGAAAGGCUUUGCGAUAGUAUGAAAAGUUGGAGGCUGAGAUCUUCAGCGUUCGAAUCAAACAGAUGUUAAUGGUUUUUCACUUUCCCGGAAGAUCUGGCUUUUAACACGUUUUGGUUACUGGAACUGUUUUCAAGGAGAACGUCACGCCAGGAGCCUCCAGAGUGCUCUGUGUUUGUUACCAAGCUUUUGCAACUGUACUGAUUUGAAGGAUGACGUGGUGUUUGCUCGUGGUCCCAAUUAGAGGCUCUUUAGAGCAAAAUCCAGAGCAAUUUCUGGAUGUCGUUGACCAUGAUAGCUGAUUUUCUAAUCAUGGCUAAGCUGCUCUUCGUUCUGAAGUGAGCAUUGUUGCACCCUGACUGAAGCUGUGUUGCUCUGCAAAGGUGCUACCAGAGGGCAGCCACAGCGAGGCUGGGACAGAGGGCCGAUCAAAUGCUGCUCCUGCACUUCUGUCUCUGUCCCUAAACAGUGCCCCUCUCAAUGUCUUACAGCUACGGAUUUGGUAUCAGCUCAGAUGACUGGAAAUAGCUGCUGUUUUUUCCCAAUGUCCAGAUGUGCUGUUUUUUUUUUUAAACAUCGAAUUGUGCUUUAAAAACGUGGUCAUAUGACAGAGAUUACAGUUGUUAAGUAUUCACGUAUCAAGGAUUUCUAUUUUUGAAGAGGCAAACAACUCCAUUAUAGUUUGCAAUCUAUAUAUAAGAACUUACAGUGAAAAGCACGUACCAGAAAUAACCAAGAUGGGCUGAACCUUUAAGUUCCAAACUAUUUUCCUGAGCAAUGAGAAUAUUUUAUGAAACCUAAAGGAAUCUGCUUCCUGGAAAACCUCCCUCUGAAACAGCCCUGAGCUGCCCUGACGGCCAAGAACAAGAGUUUGGAUGCUUUGGAGCCCUCCUGUUAGAGGAAAUAGAUUUUUGAUGGGGGAUUGAAAUAGAUUUUUAAUGGGGGAAAAGGCUGCCACAAACAUAAGGCUGAAAGGGGGGUAAAAUGGCACGUUGUGUCCGUGCACGGAAUUAUGGACAGUUAUUGAAGGGAAGAUGUACCACAGUUUGGAGCUUUUAGAGUAUUUAAGGCUUAUGUCAUAAGGAUGCCUGAAGCACUACAGUAAUUGAAGUAUUCAAAUCUGCUGAAUGAAUACCAGCUAAACCGUUUUCUUUAGAUAACAUGACUUGAAGCUGCAGAACUGUCAGUGUAUCUCAUAUGCUGCAAUUGUUUGCCUUUUAUUUGUGUGUGAUUCACUACUUUUACUAAUUGUUAGAGCUGUAACGCAUCAGUAUCAUUAAUAACUAAUGACAGCAUGAUCUCACUACAUCUGCAACUAACAGGGUCACUUGGCGUGUCAGCUGUGUCACAGCCCCCAUCAGCACUGGGAUGUGGUGCUCCCAGCAGUCCCCAUUCUCCUUCCUGAUGCUGUACGCACGCCAGGUCUGAGGAUACAGGCUAACAAAUUGGGUUUUAAGCUCCUUUUGAUUGCAGCAUUGCACGCUGCUCCCAGAUCUGCAGGACUGAGCAUGAAACCAGGUCCGGAAACUGAAUCCUGUUUUUAAAACAGGCUUUUUUUUUCCCCACUUGUUUAUCUUCGUAUUGAAUCAGUUCAGCAGUUCAGGUGGUUGUUUGGUCACAGAAACCAUGAGGGUCUGAGGAAUAGGUGGGAAGUGUUCUGGUGGGAGCUGCUUACACCUGCACGGUUGCUGACAGAAAGUUGUGGAAAAGCAAAGAAACUCUGUUACUUGACGAUGAACAGAAGGGAGAGGAGCGUUAAGCACUCUGGCUCUGAUUCAGAUGUUCUUUCUAAGGUUAAAAAAAAAAAAAGCCAGCACACUUAACAUUCUAUUUGGUUGUUGCUGAGAUGUCAUUUAACUGUCUCUUCAUCACGCUAUAGUACAGUAACAAAGCUCCCUCACACCUCUGUUGGAACCAAUACUUUCUUUUCAGACCUUUCUAUCCACUGUUGUAGAAACUGACGCCAGAAGGAAUUUCGACCACAAAAGCAGUGGGAGCAACACGAAGAGAAAUGAGUUAAGAAAGGCAUUUAUGCUCUGAAAGCAGCCUUCUUGUCUUUGUGUUAUAAAAGAUCCUUGAAA